rnacentral:snRNA from 1 species
GGAUGUGAGGGCGAUCUGGCUGUGAUAUCUGUCACCACACUGAUUGCCAGCAUUGAUUCAUCGGAUCUGGCUGGUGAGAUAGGCAGUCCCUUCCUCCCUUACCACUCCCUGUACAUCCUUCCUGAAGCUGCCUGCCAGGUUGAAGAAAACGGACCUUCCCUUCCAGAUAGAGGAUUGUUCUGUCAAGGGUAUAGGAGUAGCUGCUGUCUCCUGCUACAAUCUUCCAACAAGGAUUUUAUUAUAUUCUAAUAUCUAAAGCAUUAUGUCAUUAUAUUAAAGUAGUACAAAAUAAUAUUAAAAUCUAUGAUUUGAAAAAAAUUAU